ACACAUGCAGUCGAGCGGGGGAGAUUGCUUCGGUGAUUGACCUAGCGGCGGACGGGUGAGUAAUACUUAGGAAUCUGCCUAUUAAUGGGGGACAACAUCUCGAAAGGGAUGCUAAUACCGCAUACGCCCUACGGGGAAAGCAGGGGAUCACUUGUGACCUUGCGUUAAUAGAUGAGCCUAAGUCGGAUUAGCUAGUUGGUGGGGUAAAGGCCUACCAAGGCGACGAUCUGUAGCGGGUCUGAGAGGAUGAUCCGCCACACUGGGACUGAGACACGGCCCAGACUCCUACGGGAGGCAGCAGUGGGGAAUAUUGGACAAUGGGGGGAACCCUGAUCCAGCCAUGCCGCGUGUGUGAAGAAGGCCUUAUGGUUGUAAAGCACUUUAAGCGAGGAGGAGGCUCUCUUGGUUAAUACCCAAGAAGAGUGGACGUUACUCGCAGAAUAAGCACCGGCUAACUCUGUGCCAGCAGCCGCGGUAAUACAGAGGGUGCGAGCGUUAAUCGGAUUUACUGGGCGUAAAGCGUGCGUAGNGGCUUUUUAAGUCGGAUGUGAAAUCCCCGAGCUUAACUUGGGAAUUGCAUUCGAUACUGGGAAGCUAGAGUAUGGGAGAGGAUGGUAGAAUUCCAGGUGUAGCGGUGAAAUGCGUAGAGAUCUGGAGGAAUACCGAUGGCGAAG
rnacentral:rRNA from 1 species